UACAGGGGGUGCAAACGUUGCUCGGAAUCAUUGGGCGUAAAGCGCACGUAGGCGGUUCGUUAUGUCGGAUGUGAAAGCCCUUGGCUUAACCGAGGAAGUGCAUCCGAAACUGGCGAGCUAGAGUACGAAAGAGGAUCGCGGAAUUCCCGGUGUAGAGGUGAAAUUCGUAGAUAUCGGGAGGAACACCUGUGGCGAAAGCGGCGCACUGGACCACAACUGACGCUGAGGCGCGAAAGCUAGGGGAGCAAACAGG
rnacentral:rRNA from 1 species